GCUUAGGGAGGAGCUUGCGUCACAUUAGUUAGUUGGUGGGGUAAAGGCNUACCAAGACUAUGAUGUGUAGCCGGGCUGAGAGGUUGAACGGCCACAUUGGGACUGAGACACGGCCCAAACUCCUACGGGAGGCAGCAGUAGGGAAUUUUCGGCAAUGGAGGAAACUCUGACCGAGCAACGCCGCGUGAACGAUGAAGUAUUUCGGUACGUAAAGUUCUUUUAUUAGGGAAGAAUAAAUGAUGGAAAAAUCAUUCUGACGGUACCUAAUGAAUAAGCCCCGGCUAACUAUGUGCCAGCAGCCGCGGUAAUACAUAGGGGGCAAGCGUUAUCCGGAAUUAUUGGGCGUAAAGGGUGCGUAGGCGGUUAAAUAAGUUUAUGGUCUAAGUGCAAUGCUUAACAUUGUGAUGCUAUAAAAACUGUUUANCUAGAGUAAGAUAGAGGCAAGUGGAAUUCCAUGUGUAGUGGUAAAAUGCGUAAAUAUAUGGAGGAACACCAGUAGCGAAGGCGGCUUGCUGGGUCUUUACUGACGCUGAGGCACGAAAGCGUGGGGAGCAAACAGGAUUAGAUACCCUGGUAGUCCACGCCGUAAACGAUGAGUACUAAAUGUUGGGUAAAACCAGUGUUGAAGUUAACACAUUAAGUACUCCGCCUGAGUAGUACGUACGCAAGUAUGAAACUUAAAGGAAUUGACGGGACUCCGCACAAGCGGUGGAUCAUGUUGUUUAAUUCGAANGUACCCGAAAAACCUCACCAGGUCUUGACAUGCUUCUGCAAAGCUGUAGAAACACAGUGGAGGUUAUCAGUUGCACAGGUGGUGCAUGGUUGUCGUCAGCUCGUGUCGUGAGAUGUUGGGUUAAGUCCCGCAACGAGCGCAACCCUUAUUGUUAGUUGCCAGCACGUAAUGGUGGGGACUUUAGCAAGACUGCCAGUGAUAA
rnacentral:rRNA from 1 species